GAUCUUGCUACACAGCCUGUUGUGACUUGUCCUGUAAUUUAGUUACGAGGAUUCAAAGUCAUGCUCCAGACGCAGUUGAAAAGAAAGCAUCCAAAGUUCAUUCUGAACAUUCUACUUUUCUGAGCUUAUCUGUUGCCUCUCACACUGGUUGUUAUAGAAAGUAGUUUGACCAUUACAAAGGUUAUGUAUGGAAAAGCCUAGUUCACCAUGGCUGAGAUGGGCCCAGUCCUGUAAUGAGGAAGGUCUUAAACAUAGUGGUCUUUUACAUUGAAUGGUGCCUACAAACCACAUUUUCCUGAACUUCAUUGUAUUUGGGUUCACAGCAGAUCUUUUCAUUGGGCCUAUAGUUGUAAUGUGAAUCAGCCUAGCCUUACUACAGAUUUAUUAUGUUUUCAACUUGGUACAGGUAACCAAGACAUCAAUCAUGGUCAAUGACCUGUUUUUAAAGGGAAACAAUCAUAAAUAGAUACUUUUGUAUAUAUAGUGUAUGUGGACACCCCUUCAAAUUGGUGGAUUCAGCUAUUUCAGCCUCGCCCGUUGCUGACGGGUGUAUAAAAUUCAGUACACAGCCAUGCAAACUCCACAGACAGACAUUGGCAGUAGAAUGGCCUUACUGAAGAGCUCCGUGACAUUCAACAUGGCACCGUUAUAGGAUGCCACCUUUCAAAAAAGUAAAUUGGUCAAAUGUCUGCCCUGCUAGAGCUACCCUGGUCAACUGUAAGUGCUAUUAUUGUGAAGUAGAAACGUCUCAGCCGCAAAGUGGUAGGCCCAAAAAUAGUUUUUGUCUGUUCUCAUUUGCAACACUCACUACUAAACUGCCUCUAGAAGUAACAUCAGUGCAAUAAUUGUUCGUUGGGAGCUUCAAGAAAUGGGUUUCCAUGGCUGAGCAGCGGCACACAAGCAUAAGAUCACGAUGCGCAAUGCCAAGCGUCACCUGGAUUGGUGUAAAAGCUUGCUGUCAUUGGACGCGUUCUCUGGAGUGAUGAAUCACGCUUCACCAUAUGCCAAUCCGACGGACGACUCUGGGUUUGAGACCCGGGAGAGGCAAAGGUCGAGAGUCCUUGACCUGCCAAGCCGCGCUGCUUCUUAACACUGCUCACUUAACCCGGAAGCCAGCUGUACCAAUGUGUCGGAGGAAACAACAUCCAAAGUGGAUUAGCUUGCAGGCGCCCGGCCCGUCACAUGGAGUUGCUGGAGCACGAUAAGCCAAGGAAUCCCCCCUGCCAAACCCUCCCCUAAACCAGACGACGUUGGGCCAAUUGUUAGCCACCUCUUGGGGGGUCACAGCCGGCUAUGACACAGCCUGGGAUUGAACCUGAGGCUGUAGUGGUGCCUCAGAUCUGCGAUGUAGUGCCUUAGACCACUACGCCACUCAGGAGGCCCCAGUGUGGAAGAACUUGACUGGCCUGCACAGAGCCCUGACCUCAACCCUAUCGGACACCUUUGGGAGGAAUUGAAAUGCCAAUUGUGAGCCAGGCCUAAUCGCCCAACAUCAGUGCCCGACCUCACUAAUGUUCUUGUGGCUGAAUGGAAGCAAGUCCCUGCAGCGAUGUUCCAACAUCUAGUUGAAAGCCUUUCCAGAAGAGUGGAGGCUGUUAUAGUAGCAAAGGCAGUACCAACUCUAUAUUAACACCCAUGAUUUUGGAAUGAGCUGUUCAACGAGCAGGUGUCCACAUACUUUUGGUCCUGUAGUAUACAUUGGUUAAACAGCUGCCAUUAUAUGCCGUGCCUUGCAAAAGUAUUCAGACUCCUUGGAUUUCUUCAUUUUGUGUUACAAAAUGAGAAUGAUUUGUCUUUUAUUUUAAACAAUUUUCAUCUACACACAACACUCCGGAAUGUUAUUUUUCUUUUCAAAAUUCUUCAAGCUCUGUCAAGAUGUUGGGGAUCAUGGCUAGAUGGCAGUAAGUCUUGCCAUAGAUUGUUAAGCAGAUUUAAGUCAAAACGCUAACAUGGCCACUCAGGAACAUUCACCGUCUUCUUUAUAAGCAGAGCCGGUGUAGAUUUGGCCUUGUGUUGUAGGUUAUUGUCCUGCUGAAAGAUGAAAUCUUCACCCAGUCCCUGGUGUAAAGCAGGUCUUCAUCAAGGAUUUAGCCUGUGCUUAGCUUCAUCCCAUUUACUUUUUAUUCUGAAACUCCCCAGUAUUUGCCAAUGUCAGGCAUCCAAAUUAAAUUAUAUUUGUUACAUGCUACUUAAAAACAACCAGUGUAGACUAACAGUGAAAUGCUUUCUUACGGGCCCUUCCCAGCAAUGCAGUGAGAAAUAACAGAAAAGUUAAACACCCAAUAAUAAAUACACAAUGAGUCUUGACUAUAGACACAGGGCACCAGUACCGAGUCGAUGUGCAGGGGUACAAGGUAAUUGAGGUAGAUAUGUGCAUAUAACUAGGAAUAAAGUGACAGAUCAUAAACAGUAGCAACAGCUUCUGUGAUACACUGAACAAAAAUAUAAACGCAGCAUGUAAAGUGUUAGCCCCAUGUUUCAUGAGCUGAAAUAAGAGAUCCCAGAAAUAUUCCAAAUGCACACACAGCUUAUUUCUCUCAAAUUUUGUGCACAAAUGUUUACAACCCUGUUAGUGAGCGUUUGCCAAGAUAAUCCAUUCACCUGACAGGUGUGGCAUAUUAAGAAGCUGAUUAUUACACAGGUGUACCUUGUGCUGGGGACAGAAGGCCACUCUAAAAUGUGCAGUUUUGUCACAGAUGUCUUCAAGUGUUGAGGGAGUGUGCAAUUGAUAUGCUGACUGCAGGAAUGUCCACCAGAGCUGUUGCCAGAGAAUUAAAUGUUAAUUUCUCUACCAUAAGCCACCUCCAAUGUCGUUUUAGAGAAUUUGACAGUACAUCCAACCGGCCUCACAAUCGCAAACCACAUGUAUGGUGUUGUGUGGGCAGGCAGUUGGCUGAUGUCAACGUUGUGAACAGUGCCCCAUUGUGGCGACGAUUAUGGUAUGGGCAGGCAUAAGCUACAGACAAUGAACAAGAUUGCAUUUUAUCGAUGGCAAUUUGAAUGCACAGAGAUACCAUGACGAGAUCCUGAGUCCCAUUGUCAUGCCAUUCAUCCGCCACCAUCACCUCAUGUUUCGGUAUGAUAAUGCACAGCCCCAUGUCACAAGGAUCUGCACAAUUCCUGGAAGCUGAAAAUGUCCCAGUUCUUUCAUGGCCUGCAUACUCACCAGGCUUACUGUACCCUCUAGCGCCUUGGGGUUGGAUGUCAAGCGGUUGCCAUACCAAGUUGUGAUGCAGCCAGGCAAGAUGCUCUCAAUGGUGCAGCUGUAUAACAUUUUGAGGAUCUGAGGGCCCAUGCUAAAGCUUUUCCACCUCCCAAGAGGCAUUGUCAUGCCUUCUUCAUACCCAUACCAUGAUGCAGCCACCACUAUGCUUGAAAAUAAGGUGGGAGUUACAGUGAUGUGUUGGAUUUUCCCCAAACAUAAGACUGCAUUUAGGCCAAAAGGUGUAUUCCUUUUUGCAGUAUUACUUUAGUGCCUUGUUGCAUACAAGAUGUAUGUUUUGGAAUAUUAUUUUUUUAUUUUGUAUAUUUAUUUUCACUCUCAUUUAGUUCAUUAUUGUGGAGUCACUACAAUGUUGUUGAUCCAUCCUCGGCUCUCUCCCGUCACAGCCAUUUAACUCUGUAGUUGUUAUGAGGACAUUGGUGAUUUUAAACAUCACUGAGCAGUUUCAUUCCUGUCCUGCUGCUCUGUUCAGAAUGAUGACUAUCUUUCAUGUCUGGGUGGUUUCAUACAUAAUCCACAGCAUAAUUAUUAACUGACCAUGCUUAAAGAAAUAUUCUAUCUGAUUUUAUUGUUACCCAUGUACCAAUCACUGCCCUUUUGAGGCAUUCGAAGAGCUCCCUUGUCUUUGUAGUUGAUUUGAAAUCCAGUACUUGACUGAGGGAUCUUUACAAAUGUUAAAUGUCAUCAAGGACACUAACCACCUGGGCCCACUACCUGUUCACCCCGCUUCCAUCCAGAAGGCGAGGUCCGUACAGGUGCAUCCAAGCUGGGACAGAGAUUGAAAAUCAGCUUCUAUCUCAAGGCCAUCAGAUUGUUAAACAGCCAUCAUUAGCACAGAGAGGCGGCUGCCUACCUGCAGACUUGAUAUCAUUGUCCAAUUUAAUAAAUGGAACACUAGUCACUUUAAUAAUGCCACUUUAAGAAUGUUUACAUAUCUCGCAUUACUCAUCUCAUGUAUAUACUGUAUCAUUCACUAUCUAUUGCAUCUUAGCCGCUCUGUCACUGCUCAUCAAUAUAUUUUAUACUUACUGUAUAUAUUAUCAAAUUCCUUUACUAGAUUGUGUGUAUUAGGUUUUGUUGUGGAAUCUGUUAGAUAUUACCUGUUAGAUACUGCUGCACUGUCGGAUCUAGACGCAUAAGCAUUUCGCUACACUGCUAACCAUGUGUAUGUGACCAAUAAAAUUUGAUUUGUUAGGGGGACCGAGGAAGGGUCAUUCAAAAAUCAUGUCAACCCCUAUUAUUUCACAGUGAGUCCAUGUAACUAUAAAAUAUGAUUUGUAAAGCCAAAUUUGACUCUUGAAUUUAGGCUUGCUUAAACAAAUGGGCUCACUACUUAUGCAACAACUAUUUUACUUAUAUACUUUAAAAAUAAAAUGUCUUCUACUUUGA